rnacentral:rRNA from 1 species
AAGGCUGAGCUGUGAUGGGGAAGCUCCUUAUGGAGCGAAGUCUUUGAUUCCCCGCUGCCAAGAAAAGCUUCUAGCGAGAUAAAAGGUGCCUGUACCGCAAACCGACACAGGUAGGCGAGGAGAGAAUCCUAAGGUGUGCGAGAGAACUCUGGUUAAGGAACUCGGCAAAAUGACCCCGUAACUUCGGGAGAAGGGGUGCUUUCUUAACGGAAAGCCGCAGUGAAUAGGCCCAAGCGACUGUUUAGCAAAAACACAGCUCUCUGCGAAGCCGUAAGGCGAAGUAUAGGGGGUGACACCUGCCCGGUGCUGGAAGGUUAAGGAGAGGGGUUAGCGUAAGCGAAGCUCUGAACUGAAGCCCCAGUAAACGGCGGCCGUAACUAUAACGGUCCUAAGGUAGCGAAAUUCCUUGUCGGGUAAGUUCCGACCCGCACGAAAGGUGUAACGAUUUGGGCACUGUCUCAACCAGAGACUCGGUGAAAUUAUAGUACCUGUGAAGAUGCAGGUUACCCGCGACAGGACGGAAAGACCCCGUGGAGCUUUACUGUAGCCUGAUAUUGAAUUUUGGUACAGUUUGUACAGGAUAGGCGGGAGCCUUUGAAACCGGAGCGCUAGCUUCGGUGGAGGCGCUGGUGGGAUACCGCCCUGACUGUAUUGAAAUUCUAACCUACGGGUCUUAUCUACCCGGGAGACAGUGUCAGGUGGGCAGUUUGACUGGGGCGGUCGCCUCCUAAAGUGUAACGGAGGCGCCCAAAGGUUCCCUCAGAAUGGUUGGAAAUCAUUCGUAGAGUGCAAAGGCAUAAGGGAGCUUGACUGCGAGACCUACAAGUCGAGCAGGGACGAAAGUCGGGCUUAGUGAUCCGGUGGUUCCGCAUGGAAGGGCCAUCGCUCAACGGAUAAAAGCUACCCCGGGGAUAACAGGCUUAUCUCCCCCAAGAGUCCACAUCGACGGGGAGGUUUGGCACCUCGAUGUCGGCUCAUCGCAUCCUGGGGCUGUAGUCGGUCCCAAGGGUUGGGCUGUUCGCCCAUUAAAGCGGUACGCGAGCUGGGUUCAGAACGUCGUGAGACAGUUCGGUCCCUAUCCGUCGUGGGCGUAGGAAAUUUGAGAGGAGCUGUCCUUAGUACGAGAGGACCGGGAUGGACGCACCGCUGGUGUACCAGUUGUUCUGCCAAGGGCAUAGCUGGGUAGCUAUGUGCGGAAGGGAUAAGUGCUGAAAGCAUCUAAGCAUGAAGCCCCCCUCAAGAUGAGAUUUCCCAUAGCGUAAGCUAGUAAGAUCCCUGAAAGAUGAUCAGGUUGAUAGGUUCGAGGUGGAAGCAUGGUGACAUGUGGAGCUGACGAAUACUAAUAGAUCGAGGACUUAACC